GGAUGCGAUCAUACCAGCACUAAAGCACCGGAUCCCACAGAACUCCGAAGUUAAGCGUGCUUUGGCGAGAGUAGUACUAGGAUGGGUGACCUCCUGGGAAGUCCUCGUGUUGCAUUCC
rnacentral:rRNA from 16 species